rnacentral:rRNA from 1 species
CCAGCUGCGUGAACUAAUGUGAAUUGCAGGACACAUUGAACAUCGACACUUUGAACGCAUAUUGCGGCCAAGGGUCCGUCCUUUGGCCACGCCCGUCUGAGGGUCGGCAAAGUUCUACCCAUCACCGGAGGCUCUGUCCGGUGCCUUGAGCUCUCGCAGCGGCCGGCGGCCGCUCCGUGGCUCCAAGUUGAGACCCGGUCCCGGUCUCGUGACUGGGGGACCGACUUUGUUCCCUGUGGCGCUUUUUUCUCUCUCCCUCCCGGUCCGGGCGGGGGAGGCGACUGUCCUGUGCGCGGGCGAAGGACAUGGCUCGGAUCUGACGCAUCAUCAUGCCUUCGUUGCCCCCGCCACUUCGCCUCCCUGUCCCGUACGUACGACCGAGAGAGAGAAGUCCCGAAAGAAAAAAAGCGGCCGCUUCUGAUCUCCGACCUCAGAUCGGACGAGAUUACCCGCUGAAUUUAAGCAUAUCACUAAGCGGA